UCAGGUUUUGCCUCAGCCAACUAAUCUCACAUCCCCAAACACAAAAGUGUUUUAAGAAAGAAGAAAUUCUUUCCAAUUCUGACAUUCGUCAAAAGUUAGUAAAUACUCAGAACGUGUCAGCUUCUCAGGUUGAUGUAGCUGUGAAAAUUAAUAAGAAAGUUGUGCCCCUGAACUUUUCUGAGUUCUUUAGCUAAACGAAUAAAGCAGUUACAUCAUGAAGCACAGCAAAGUGAAGGGGAACAGAAUUACAGGAAGUUUAGGGCAAGGAUUUGUCCUGGAGAAAAUCAAGCAGCCGAAGAUGAACUAAGAAAAGAGAUAAGUAAAACGAUGUUUGCAGAAAUGGAAAUCAUUGGUCAGUUUAACCUGGGAUUUAUAAUAACCAAACUGAAUGAGGAUAUCUUCAUAGUGGACCAGCAUGCCACGGACGAGAAGUAUAACUUCGAGAUGCUGCAGCAGCACACCGUGCUCCAGGGGCAGAGGCUCAUAGCGUGAGUGUGUUUAGUGUUCAUUCCCAGACUCCCCCUCAAAUUGAAGAUCUAAUAGAGGCCGAGGCAGGAGGAUCACAAGAGGCCAGGAGUUUGAGACCAGCCUGGACAACACAGCAAGACCUUGUAUCUACUUUAAAAAAGAAGAGAUCUAGGAAGGAGGGGUGUAAAAAAUAAAAAAGAUCUAGUUGGCCAGGUGCGGUGCCUCACACCUGUAAUCCCAGCACUUUGGGAGGCCGAGGCAGGCAGAUCACCUGAGGUCAGGAGUUGGAGACCAGCCUGGCCAACGUGGUGAAACCCCGCCUCUACUAAAAAUACAAAAAGGCCAGGCACGGUGGCUCACGCCUGUAAUCCCGGCACUUUGGGAGGCCGAGGUGGGCAGAUCACUUCAGGUCGGGAGUUCGAGACCAGCCUGACCAACAUGGUGAGACCUGUCUCUACUAAAAAUACAAAAUUAGCCAGGCGUGGUGGCAGGCGCCUGUAGUCCCAGCUACUUGGGAGGCUGAGGCAGGAGAAUCGCUUGAACCCGGGAGGCGGAGUUUGCAGCGAGCCGAGUUCGUGCCAUCGCACUCCAGCCUGGGCAACAAGAGUGAAACUCCGUCUCAAAAAAUAAUAAUA
rnacentral:lncRNA from 1 species